CAGUAGCCACGGGAAUACGUAGGUGGCAAGCGUUGUCCGGAAUUAUUGGGCGUAAAGGGCUCGCAGGCGGUUUCUUAGGUCUGAUGUGAAAGCCCCCGGCUCAACCGGGGAGGGUCAUUGGAAACUGGGAAACUUGAGUGCAGAAGAGGAGAGUGAAAUUCCACGUGUAGCGGUGAAAUGCGUAGAGAUGUGGAGGAACACCAGUGGCGAAGGCGACUCUCUGGUCUGUAACUGACGCUGAGGAGCGAAAGCGUGGGGAGCGAACAGGAUUAGAUACCCGUGUAGUCCCUGUCUCUUAUAC
rnacentral:rRNA from 1 species